GUGGGGAAUAUUGCACAAUGGGCGCAAGCCUGGUGCAGCCAUGCCGCGUGUAUGAAGAAGGCCUUCGGGUUGUAAAGUACUUUCAGCGGGGAGGAAGGUGUUGUGGUUAAUAACCGCAGCAAUUGACGUUACCCGCAGAAGAAGCACCGGCUAACUCCGUGCCAGCAGCCGCGGUAAUACGGAGGGUGCAAGCGUUAAUCGGAAUUACUGGGCGUAAAGCGCACGCAGGCGGUCUGUCAAGUCGGAUGUGAAAUCCCCGGGCUGAACCUGGGAACUGCAUUCAAAACUGGCAGGCUGGAGUCUUGUAGAGGGGGGUAGAAUUCCAGGUGUAGCGGUGAAAUGCGUAGAGAUCUGGAGGAAUACCGGUGGCGAAGGCGGCACCCUGGACAAAGACUGACGCUCAGGUGCGAAAGCGUGGGGAGCAAACAGGAUUAGAAACCCUUGUAGUCC
rnacentral:rRNA from 1 species